rnacentral:lncRNA from 1 species
GUUCUCCUAUUUAUUUAUAUUGUAGUCCUGUAAUGUUGUGUUGUCAUUUUAAUGUUAUAUUUCACAUGGCCAUAAAAGAGGGAGGUUUGGCAUGCCACAAAACCAGGUUCAACCCACCAUUUUUUCCUUUAUAAAUGUCCUGUACCAAGUCAGGAAUAUGGCCAUUGUUAUAUUAUAGUUCGUUUCUGUGUGUGUUACAUUUUAACGUUGUGUUUCCGUUGUGUCGUUUGUUUUCUCUUAUUUUUUAAUGUGAAUUCACAUUACUAUAAGACGUGUCACGGUCUAUCCCAAGUUCAUGUAUUUGGUUUUGAUGUUAUAUUUGUUAUUCUCAUAGAAUGUUGUCUAAUGCUUAGUCCGUUUCUGUGUGUGUCACAUUUUAAUGUUGUGUCG